GCCUACGACCAUAUCACCCUGAAUGCGCCCGAUCUCGUCUGAUCUCGGAAGCUAAGCAUGGUCGAGCCUGGCUAGUACUUGGAUGGGAGACUGCCUGGGAAUACCAGGUGUUGUAGGCU
ensembl:rRNA 5S_rRNA 5S ribosomal RNA